rnacentral:lncRNA from 1 species
AUUAUAAGCAGAAUCUUAUAGCGUUCACAUUCAUUUCAAUAGCAGCCGCUUGAACCACCAGAAGUGUGUGAUUUGUACUCUGAUGUAUUUGCACUGUUUUUGAGUCAAUAAAGGUCCCUUUUAUGCUUGUAAAGUUUGGUAAAAUAUAUAUAUAUAUAUAUAUAUAUAUAUAUAUGUGUGUGUGUGUGUGUGUGUGUGUGUGUGUGUGUGUGUGUGUGUGUGUGUAGUAUAUAUAUAUAUUAUUUAUGGCCAAUCUGAUGCGCCCUGACUCGGGCUAGUUUGCAUAUUCCACAGUUGGCACGUUAGACCCCACCACGAGCCCCUCUAGCCUCUCUUCAGCUCUCAUUAGUGCCAGUGAAAUAGUAUGCUGAUGCGCUGGCAAACUUAAUUUGUAAGUUAAACACAUUUAGAUCUGCUUGAUACAGAAGAGAGUAUUUUUGGACUUUCCUAGACCACUUACGCAAAAGCCGUGUGAUGCUGAGAAAAAUCGCUGACUGAAGACUUGUUCAUUUACAUAUGCAUUUAGUUCUCAUGUCAGUCAACAGUGUGUUCGUGACGAUUCGUAUUAAUUCAGCAUGCUUCUAAAGAACGUUCAGUCACAGAGUCUCUCUUCAAUAAAAUAACAAUCUUUGGCAAUUAUAAGCAGAAUCUUAUAGCGUUCACAUUCAUUUCAAUAGCAGCCGCUUGAACCACCAGAAGUGUGUGAUUUGUACUCUGAUGUAUUUGCACUGUUUUUGAGUCAAUAAAGGUCCCUUUUAUGCUUGUAAAGUUUGGUAAAUAUAUAUAUAUAUAUAUAUAUAUAUAUAUGUGUGUGUGUGUGUGUGUGUGUGUGUGUGUGUGUGUGUGUGUGUGUGUGUGUAGUAUAUAUAUUAUUAUUUACAGUUCCGUCCCCCUGUGAACAGCACAGCAUCACCACACACGACUCCACACCCUCUGAAGACCAGGCUACAGUUUACAGACUGCAAUCUAGACGUUUGCUUGCAAAAGAUACCACCGACCCGGAAAGAUUUGGAGGUAUGCAAAAAAAUGGGAGGCUUUUGGUAAGAUUCACAGAAAAAAGACUUUGUACUCUCAAAUAUCCAAUUCAGCUUUCAAGUUUAUUGUCACGUGUACAGUCUCACUGACAAUUUGCACAUUGAUAUGUUUAGGUUGAGGCUCAGGCAUUCUACAUUAGUGCAAUACAAUACAAACCAAUGCAAUUAGAGAGGAGAGGAAAAAAAACAAGUUUAUAGUCUUGUAGUAUGUGCAGUCUGUUUUAAAGUGCAAAUGAUCUUUGUAAAGAAAAAUAGUCAU